AACGAACGCUGGCGGCAGGCUUAACACAUGCAAGUCGAGCGCCCCGCAAGGGGAGCGGCAGACGGGUGAGUAACACGUGGGAAUCUACCCAUCCCUACGGAACAACUCCGGGAAACUGGAGCUAAUACCGUAUACGCCCUUUGGGGGAAAGAUUUAUCGGGGAUGGAUGAGCCCGCGUUGGAUUAGCUAGUUGGUGGGGUAAAGGCCUACCAAGGCGACGAUCCAUAGCUGGUCUGAGAGGAUGAUCAGCCACAUUGGGACUGAGACACGGCCCAAACUCCUACGAGAGGCAGCAGUGGGGAAUAUUGGACAAUGGGCGCAAGCCUGAUCCAGCCAUGCCGCGUGAAUGAUGAAGGCCUUAGGGUUGUAAAGUUCUUUCACCGAUGAAGAUAAUGACGGUAGUCGGAGAAGAAGCCCCGGCUAACUUCGUGCCAGCCGCCGCUGUAAGAC
rnacentral:rRNA from 1 species